AGUGAACGCUGGCGGUAGGCCUAACACAUGCAAGUCGAACGGCAGCACAGUAAGAGCUUGCUCUUACGGGUGGCGAGUGGCGGACGGGUGAGGAAUACAUCGGAAUCUACUUUUUCGUGGGGGAUAACGUAGGGAAACUUACGCUAAUACCGCAUACGACCUACGGGUGAAAGCAGGGGAUCUUCGGACCUUGCGCGAUUGAAUGAGCCGAUGUCGGAUUAGCUAGUUGGCGGGGUAAAGGCCCACCAAGGCGACGAUCCGUAGCUGGUCUGAGGGGAUGAUCAGCCACACUGGAACUGAGACACGGUCCAGACUCCUACGGGAGGCAGCAGUGGGGAAUAUUGGACAAUGGGCGCAAGCCGGAUCCAGCCAUACCGCGUGGGUGAAGAAGGCCUUCGGGUUGUAGAGCCCUUUUGUUGGGAAAGAAAAGAAGCAGGUUAAUACCCCGCUGUUCUGACGGUACCCAAAGAAUAAGCACCGGCUAACUUCGUG
rnacentral:rRNA from 1 species